rnacentral:lncRNA from 1 species
GAAGACGCUAAUAUGAUUAAAAGCAAAGACCCUAAAAUAUAGGAAAAAAUUCGAUGGAAUAUUGAAGAAGCAUAGGAGAUCUACCUUGAUGGGCUUGAACCAACAGAAAAUAGGCAAAUAAAGAGGCCCAUCUCAGAGGAGCACCAGAUUAUUACUUUAGAGCUGCAUAAGUACCCAGAUCUUGAGCAACAAUUUAAUGAGUAUGAG